GAGCCCCUACGGGAGGCAGCAGUAGGGAAUCUUCCACAAUGGACGAAAGUCUGAUGGAGCAACGCCGCGUGAGUGAAGAAGGGUUCGGCUCGUAAAGCUCUGUUGGUAGUGAAGAAAGAUAGAGGUAGUAACUGGCCUUUAUUUGACGGUAAUUACUUAGAAAGUCACGGCUAACUACGUGCCAGCAGCCGCGGUAAUACGUAGGUGGCAAGCGUUGUCCGGAUUUAUUGGGCGUAUAGCGAGUGCAGGCGGGUCAAUAAAUUUG
rnacentral:rRNA from 1 species